rfam:Medicago truncatula strain A17 chromosome 5, whole genome shotgun sequence.
AUGUAUUAACUGAGGCAAUGACGUAGCUAACGAGGUAAUAACUGAGCCGCGUCUAUUGCUGGUUGGAAACUAUUUCCAAACCCUCUCUGGGCCUGAGCUUGCCUCGGGCCUUUGAGAAUUUCUGGAAGGGCUCCCUUUUUGGAUAAAGCC